GGAGCAACGCCGCGUGAGUGAUGAAGGUUUUCGGAUCGUAAAGCUCUGUUGUUAGGGAAGAACAAGUGCGAGAGUAACUGCUCGCACCUUGACGGUACCUAACCAGAAAGCCACGGCUAACUACGUGCCAGCAGCCGCGGUAAUACGUAGGUGGCAAGCGUUGUCCGGAAUUAUUGGGCGUAAAGGGCUCGCAGGCGGUUUCUUAAGUCUGAUGUGAAAGCCCCCGGCUCAACCGGGGAGGGUCAUUGGAAACUGGGAAACUUGAGUGCAGAAGAGGAGAGUGGAAUUCCACGUGUAGCGGUGAAAUGCGUAGAGAUGUGGAGGAACACCAGUGGCGAAGGCGACUCUCUGGUCUGUAACUGACGCUGAGGAGCGAAAGCGUGGGGAGCGAACAGGAUUAGAUACCCUGGUAGUCCACGCCGUAAACGAUGAGUGCUAAGUGUUAGGGGGUUUCCGCCCCUUAGUGCUGCAGCUAACGCAUUAAGCACU
rnacentral:rRNA from 1 species